GGGUUGUGAGGUUAAGCGACUAAGCGUACACGGUGGAUGCCCUGGCAGUCAGAGGCGAUGAAGGGCGUGCUAAUCUGCGAUAAGCGCCGGUAAGGUGAUAUGAACCGUUAUAACCGGCGAUACCCGAAUGGGGAAACCCAGUGUGACUCGUCACACUAUCAUUAACUGAAUCCAUAGGUUAAUGAGGCGAACCGGGGGAACUGAAACAUCUAAGUACCCCGAGGAAAAGAAAUCAACCGAGAUUCCCCCAGUAGCGGCGAGCGAACGGGGAGGAGCCCAGAGCCUGAAUCAGCAUGUGUGUUAGUGGAAGCGUCUGGAAAGGCGCGCGAUACAGGGUGACAGCCCCGUACACAAAAGCGCAUGUGCUGUGAGCUCGAUGAGUAGGGCGGGACACGUGGUAUCCUGUCUGAAUAUGGGGGGACCAUCCUCCAAGGCUAAAUACUCCUGACUGACCGAUAGUGAACCAGUACCGUGAGGGAAAGGCGAAAAGAACCCCGGCGAGGGGAGUGAAAAAGAACCUGAAACCGUGUACGUACAAGCAGUGGGAGCCCCACCACUAAGCCAGUGGUGAACUCCACAUACGCAUCCUUUGCUGAGGAUACGGUUAACGGAGCGAAAGCGACGUUCAACCUCAAAAGAAGCAGAGGGGGCUUAGUGGUGGGGUGACUGCGUACCUUUUGUAUAAUGGGUCAGCGACUUAUAUUCUGUAGCAAGGUUAACCGAAUAGGGGAGCCGGAGGGAAACCGAGUCUUAAUUGGGCGUUAAGUUGCAGGGUAUAGACCCGAAACCCGGUGAUCUAGCCAUGGGCAGGUUGAAGGUUGGGUAACACUAACUGGAGGACCGAACCGACUAAUGUUGAAAAAUUAGCGGAUGACCUGUGGCUGGGGGUGAAAGGCCAAUCAAACCGGGAGAUAGCUGGUUCUCCCCGAAAGCUAUUUAGGUAGCGCCUCGUGAAUUCAUCUCCGGGGGUAGAGCACUGUUUCGGCUAGGGGGCCAUCCCGGCUUACCAACCCGAUGCAAACUGCGAAUACCGGAGAAUGUUAUCACGGGAGACACACGGCGGGUGCUAACGUCCGUCGUGAAGAGGGAAACAACCCAGACCGCCAGCUAAGGUCCCAAAGUCAUGGUUAAGUGGGAAACGAUGUGGGAAGGCCCAGACAGCCAGGAUGUUGGCUUAGAAGCAGCCAUCAUUUAAAGAAAGCGUAAUAGCUCACUGGUCGAGUCGGCCUGCGCGGAAGAUGUAACGGGGCUAAACCAUGCACCGAAGCUGCGGCAGCGA
rnacentral:rRNA from 3 species